ACGGGUGAGUAACACGUGGGUGAUCUGCCCUGCACUUUGGGAUAAGCCUGGGAAACUGGGUCUAAUACCGAAUAUGACCACGCUCUUCAUGGGGUGUGGUGGAAAGCUUUUGCGGUGUGGGAUGGGCCCGCGGCCUAUCAGCUUGUUGGUGGGGUAAUGGCCUACCAAGGCGACGACGGGUAGCCGGCCUGAGAGGGUGACCGGCCACACUGGGACUGAGAUACGGCCCAGACUCCUACGGGAGGCAGCAGUGGGGAAUAUUGCACAAUGGGCGCAAGCCUGAUGCAGCGACGCCCCGUGAGGGAUGACGGCCUUCGGGUUGUAAACCUCUUUCACCAGGGACGAAGCGCAAGUGACGGUACCUGGAGAAGAAGCACCGGCCAACUACUUGCCAGCAGCCGCGGUAAUACGUAGGGUGCGAGCGUUGUCCGGAAUUACUGGGCGUAAAGAGCUCGUAGGUGGUUUGUCGCGUUGUUCGUGAAAACUCACAGCUUAACUGUGGGCGUGCGGGCGAUACGGGCAGACUAGAGUACUGCAGGGGAGACUGGAAUUCCUGGUGUAGCGGUGGAAUGCGCAGA
rnacentral:rRNA from 2 species